rnacentral:rRNA from 1 species
UACGUAGGGGGCGAGCGUUGUCCGGAUUUAUUGGGCGUAAAGAGCGUGUAGGCGGCCAGGUAGGUCUGCUGUGAAAACUCGAGGCUCAACCUCGAGACGUCGGCGGAAACCAUCUGGCUAGAGUCCGGAAGAGGAGAGUGGAAUUCCUGGUGUGAGCGGUGAAAUGCGCAGAUAUCAGGAAGAACACCCGUGGCGAAGGCGGCUCUCUGGGACGGUACUGACGCUGAGACGCGAAGCGUGGGGAGCGAACAGGAUAGAU